AUUGAACGCUGGCGGCAUGCCUUACACAUGCAAGUCGAACGGCAGCAUGAUCUUUCUUCCUGGAUUGAUGGCGGGUGGCGUGCGGGUUAGUUAUACAUCGGCACGUGCCCGGUGGAUGGGGUUAACUAGCCGGAAGUUAUACUACUACCGCCCACGACCAGAAGGUGGAAGAUGGUGGCAGCUCGGGCUCACGCUUUAGCCUAGGUCGGAUUAGCUAGUUGGUGGGGUAAAGGCAUACCAAGGCGACGAUCAGUAGCUGGUCUGAGAGGACGAUCAGCCACACUGGAACUGAGACACGGCCCAGACUCCUACGGGAGGCAGCAGUGGGGAAUUUUGGACAAUGGGCGAAAGCCUGAUCCAGCAAUGCCGCGUGUGUGAAGAAGGCCUUCGGAUUGUAAAGCACUUUUGUCCGGAAAGAAAUGGAGCUGGUUAAUACCUGGCGUCGAUGACGGUACCGGAAGAAUAAGGACCGGCUAACUACGUG
rnacentral:rRNA from 1 species